AUCGCUUCUCGGCCUUUUGGCUAAGAUCAAGUGUAGUAUCUGUUCUUAUCAGUUUAAUAUUGCUACAUGUAUAUUUCCAAAUAUAAAAUUUCCUCUGAGUAUCACCUUGGCUACCCCCC
rnacentral:snRNA from 1 species